UACGUAGGGGGCAAGCGUUGUCCGGAUUCAUUGGGCGUAAAGAGCGUGUAGGCGGCCAGGUAGGUCGGUUGUGAAAACUGGAGGCUCAACCCUUCAGAGGUCGACCCGAAACCAUCUGGCUAGAGUCCGGGAGAGGAGAGUGGAAUUCCUGGUGUAGCGGUGAAUGCGCAGAUAUCAGGAAGAACACCGUGGCGAAAGCGGCUCUCUGGAACGGUACUGACGCUGAGACGCGAAGCGUGGGGAGCGAACAGG
rnacentral:rRNA from 1 species